rnacentral:rRNA from 1 species
GCAACGCGAAGAACCUUACCAACUCUUGACAUCCCCCUGACCGGUACAGAGAUGUGCCUUCCCCUUCGGGGNCAGGGGUGACAGGUGGUGCAUGGUUGUNGUCAGCUCGUGUCGUGAGAUGUUGGGUUAAGUCCCGCAACGAGCGCAACCCUUNUCNUUAGUUGCCAGCAUUUGGUUGGGCACUCUAAGGAGACUGCCGGUGACAAACCGGAGGAAGGUGGGGAUGACGUCAAAUCAUCAUGCCCCUUAUGAGUUGGGCUACACACGUGCUACAAUGGACGGUACAAAGGGCAGCGAAGCCGCGAGGUGGAGCCAAUCCCAGAAAGCCGUUCUCAGUUCGGAUUGCAGUCUGCAACUCGCCUGCAUGAAGUCGGAAUCGCUAGUAAUCGCAGGUCAGCAUACUGCGGUGAAUACGUUCCCGGGUCUUGUACACACCGCCCGUCACACCAACGAGAGUUUGCNACACCCGAAGUCGGUGAGUAA